UGUUAUUGCUAACAGGAUGUGGAUGUGUAUAUGUAUGUGUGUGUGCGCGCGUAUUCAGAAUGGUGUGCAUGUUUACUUUAACAAUUUGCUUCAACGUACAGAGGAAUGAACACCAGAAAUUUAAAGAAUUAUCUUUGAACGUAAUAAUACAUUAUUACAAUUUCCUCUUUUAAUUUUAAAUUUACAAACAAGAAAAAUAAUACGAUAGAGCUUCGAUUAUCCGAAUUAAAAUCAUGGUACAUGCUGUUCAAAUACUCGAAUUUUUCAGAUGAUCAACUUUGUUCUUAUGUCAGAGAAGCUCAUUUACUUCGAACGAAUUUACACAUUUCUCAUGUUCGUUUUCCAAUCUAUCUUACAAAGAGUCAUAUGCAAAUUUUUCACUAAUCGGAAUUUCAAUGAUCGAUUCUUUCGAUAAUCGAGAUUCUACUGUACUGGUAAAACAGAACUAAAUAUCGUUUUUGUCGUCCUUAGUUUACUUUCUAAAAAAUUCUAAAGAGCUAUCUAAUGUUAGCUCAAACUAUAGUUCUAGCUAUGUCAACGCGAUGAUGUUGCAUUUUUAGUAAUAAAAUUUUACAAAUGCGGGAAUUGCGCUCAUUUGUUAACGAGCAAUUCGUCAUAGGUUAACCGUUCCAUGGAAUCCCUGCAAAAUUUCAAGCUUCUGUUUGCGAGAGGAUGAUGAAAGGAAUACGUUUCACUUAACAAACAUGCAUAAAAUUAUAGCAUUUGUGCGCAUCUGACAAGCGACCAUUAAUCUUUUUAUUCCUGUGAUUUUCGAAUUUCACAUUUUAUAUAUCCCGUAUUUUAGCAAAAUUUCGGAUCAAUAAUUGCACCUUGUUUAAUAUUCUUUUCGCAUUUCGACCUUAUUAAUGACUAAUAUCAAUAGCUAGUAAAUUAUGCAGCAUAGUUUGCAACAUUUUGGACGUAACUAGAAAUCGUAGUAAUAUUAAUUGAAACGAUAUCAAUUAUGUUAAACUUCAUUAUAAUUUUGUUUUACAGUACACUGCAUUUUGUGAUUACCGUAAUGUAAUGACUACUGCAAUUAUUGAAAACAAUGAAAUGGACAUUAAAGGAAUAUUACGAUUAAUAUCAACGAUAAAUUGGUAUGAAUUUUUACGAUUAAAGCUCACAAGAACGAAACAAUAUAGACACCGUGUCAUCAUAACAUGCAAUACUCCAUUCGUUGAAAUUUCCAAAAGGUUAUAGCUUGUUGACCGAUAGAGAUUUAAAUUCUGUAUUUUUUAAAGAUGUUCAAUUAUUUUUAUUCGUCGUAUAAAACUUUGCAAAUCUAACUGGUACUCACUACAUAAAAAACAUUCCAUCUCUAUUUCUAUUUUAUUAUUUUUUGGUAACUUAACUUAUAAUUUGAAAGCACCUUGUAUUCUAUCUUUCUAGUCAUACGAGGCAUCCUCGCGCGACAGAUUAAGAACGAGUCUAUGAUUAUUGUAUUGAUGAGUAUUGGCGUUUCGUCGUUUUCCGAAGCCGUACACGACAAAUCUUCCCUCGAAUCUCUAGAGACGAAAAGUUAUGCCAUACUUCGCAGGUUUCGUGUACCACGUACGAAGAUAACAAGACACUGUCCAUUUACAGAUUGCUCGUGUUGUUGCUCGUAUUUUUCAUGGCCAAAGCUUAGGUUACAUAUUGCAUCGGUUGCACGAAUAAAUGAAUAUACUUAAGUAACAUAGGUUUCAGAAUCACAGUGGUGUAAAUCAAUCCAUUGUAAUUCUUCGUAAAAUGAUAUACUACAAUUUUUAUUAUACAAUAUUCGUUAUAUUUUUCAAAGUCAUGAAAACGUAGUAAAGAAUAAAGUUAUAACAUAAUUGGUUAUAAAAUCGAAGGGAAGAUACGUUUAAGAGUUGAAAUAUGUAGUCCAGCGAAUAACGUAAAACGUUAAGAAAACCUUAGCAUUACAUCGAAGAUAUCGUUUCGAGACAUUCGUAGGUAUUGCCUUUUAUCUCCUUUCGAAAACGUCGCUAUUGCUUGUCUUCGACAAGGAAACGAAGCUGUUUGUUAGCUCCGUGAACGUGUUGAGACAUCGAGCAAAAGAAAUCCACGCAAUCGUGUCUUUGUUGUCAUUCCACGUUGCAAACAAGACUGAUACGGAUAUCAAUUUCGCGAGAAUUUCUUCAAAGAAGACACUUUAUAGCGUCGAAUUACGGGCAGACGAGCACUGGUCGUAAAAUAAAAUCGAUGCCCUCUAUAAACGCGUUUCACGAUCGCAUCCAUGGGGACAUUUUCAUUUUUUUGACGGUUACGAUAAAUGGACGGCAAUUUGCGUGCUCUAUGCAGUUUACUUGGCGCCGGACGUCGAACAAUUCUUUUUCGAGAUGGUACUCGGUCGAAUGCCGUCGUUCGACGCUGUGGCGACUUUUUAAUGGAAGAAGAAAGAUAAAAAGAACAAAAAUGAAAAGGAUUGUGAGUGAAGAGAGGAAAGAGAAAAUAGAAGAGAAGAAGGAAAAGAAAAAUUGGAGUCCGAUGAAUGGAGAACGUCGGGCGUAUCUAUUCAUACAGAGAAUCCGGGACUAAUUUCGUUGAGCUUUUCUAUUCCCCGCGAUUCUCUUUUAAACGUCUUCGGCCGUUUUCCUCUCUCACACGGUCGUUGAUAACGCGUCACUCGUUAAUACAGGCUUGACCGAGUUUUUAAUUGAAUGACCGCGGAAUGGCGCGAAAACCAAUCGAUAUGUAGCCCGGCAGAUAUAAAAUAUUCAAAGACGUUCCAUCUUGGUAACAGGGGCACAAUUUGUAAUCCCCUUUUAUCCGAUCCGCUCGUUUUCGCGCGUCUUCAUUAGAGAAUCGAUGCGUCACUUUGAAAUACUGUCUCUCCUCCGUGAAAAUUAAACACGACGCGGUUUCUGGUUUUGUCGAACGUCGACGUAACGCAUAUCGUAGAGACAGGAAAUGAUAUUGAAAACGAUAAUCUCACAGAUGAUGACGCAAAUAGCGAAGAGAUGUAUUGGCAGAAAUUUUUCGCUAAUGAUGUGAACAAAUGUAGAUUAUGAUAAAAAUCACGAAAUUAGAUUUAUUAUAAAUCAUACGGAUUAUUUAUGUUUGAAUGACGUAUACGAAAUUGUGCGCGUAAAAUUUCGGAUAAAUUAAAAAAUUCGCCCGAAGUUGUAAAUUCAAUGCAACAGUAAUUUGUAAUUUGAUACAGCUUUCAAUUUUCCAACCACGUUUAUAAUCAAAAUCUAAAUGUUCUUUCCUCAAUAACCACUUGCAUUUUCUCCUACUUCGAACUUUAUUCUAUCAAAAAGUAUCCACGAUCGCGUUCAAGCCUCACGAAUAGCGUGAUCGAAGUCGCUUCUUAACGCAAUCCCCGAGGAACGUACGUAAAUAUCACAUGUUUGCAGAACGGUAAAAUUGAAUCGCAGACGAAUUAAUUCGUUAUUCCCUAUCUGCGAAGUCGGUAAACUAUCACGAACGGUGUGCAAAUUUCAUAGUCUCUAUUUAAUACACUCCUACAACUAGAACCGAACAAAAUUUAUAACUGAACAUUACCUAUUGUAUAUAGUAUCGAAUUAUCAGACACACCAAUGAACCACUCAAUCCCUGGAAGAACUGGUUGUAAUGUUAGACGAAAAUCGAAAUAAAAUUCUUAAUGUUUAAUGGCUUCACAACCAAAACUCUUAUUCAAUGGAAAAAAAUAAUUUUUUUUCGAAAUUUGAUCAGUAAUCGCGUAUUUAUUAUUAUUAAUUAUAAUAACAUUGUGAAAAUGAUAAAAAAUAAAGUUGAUCAGUUUGGUUUCUGCGAGGCUCAUUUAUGAAUGGCAAUGUAAGUGUGCACAUUCAUGACAGUAAAAACACACAACAUUAAUUAUUGAAAAUUCUACGAUAUCCGGAUUGCGAAAGUCUUAAAUUUGUGAUUAAGAUCUCGAUUAAUAUAUCUGCGAUGAAACAUGCGUUGGCACUGUUACAGCGCAUGUAAUGGUACUGACAUGUAUCACUCGUAUUACGCACGCGGUCUUAAACAUGUAAUACAUGCGCACGUGUCGUCGAAAACGGCUCAAAUCUUGAUUUUCUUGCAAUGCGAAUUGGAAUCGUAGCUACCUAGCCCCGUAAUUACCCGUAGAAAUGCAAAUUCGUGAUACGAGCAGAAUACCCGAGUAACUAUGCCAGUCACGCUCAUGACGUUAUCUUGAUGAUACAGUUCUAACAAGAUCGCCGUUGCAAGGCGUGUAACAAACGAUCCCAUAUGCGAAGUUUUCACAUCGAUGCAAUAACGCCGUACGAUAUGCAUGUAAUUUCUAAUCUGAAAGAUUAAUUAACCUGAUACUUGACCUGAACCAAUAAUGAACCUGACGAGCGUGGUCCAAGAAAAUUGCAUUCGUGUCCACUAUGAUCAUGUUUCCGGCGAUAGUGCUUAUGACGUGGAUCACAUUUUACGGAGUCAAGCUUGAUGAUUCUUACAUAGAUUUUACUAUAUCAUUUCCAAGAUGCGUACCGAAUUCCAUUGGCCUCUAAGAUAUUCUUUCUCGAGAUUGAAACUAGCGUAUCCUUGGAGAUGUGGGAGGAACGAGCGUCUGGCUGAAUAUUUUAUCAACGAAACACCAAAAGCGAAAGAUGAAAGUACGUUUAAUAAAUCAAAUUCGACCACGUUUUCUGUUCCCUUCUGAAAUUUCUGAAUGUUAUUAGACUGAAGAACGUGAUGAGUUAUACUAUAAGGAUUACGAAAUAUACACGUAAAAGAAGGAUCUUGAUAAAUGGGUAAAUUUAUUGAAUAAAUGUAUGUACAUAAAAUUUAUACGUCGUAUAUAAAGUAGGAGAGAUUUACCGUAUAGGGAUGGAAUUCUUUAGUACGUACAUGUGUAUAUAUUUAAAGCAUACAUAUAUGGUCGAAUUUCCAGGAGGUAUAGGUUAUACAUAACAGAUUUUUGGUCAAAGUGCAUAUUAUCAUUCGUCUAACACGUGGUAAAUGUAAACCACCCCAUAAUAGGACGCAUAUAUGGUUACUCUGAAGUGACCUGACACAUAUGUAACCCAAUAAAGACAAUAUGGACCGCACUGGACUCAACAGAGACAAUAUUGGGAACGUGGGUUCCGUUAGAGACGUUAUCAAAUACAUAGGGCCCAACGAGGAUGUUACUAGAUACAUUGACUUGAUAAAGAGCAUACUAAAAAUGUAAGCUAAUAAUACCUAUAAUAUACAUAUACAAAUUAUACAGGGCGGGUUGAAAAUCAUAGUAUAACCAACCAUGAUACAAAAAAAAAUUUUUCAUAUGUCGGCUUGUUUCUGAGAAAACCGAGUCUGAAAAUUUGAUUGUCAGAAAUGAUUGUUUAAUUAUUAUUGCGAAGCUGGGAAUUCCAAAGAAUUCAAAAAGUCCACGUAUCGAGGAGUACAAAAGCCAAAAGGUUAUUAAUUCAAAAACACAAAAAUCCAAGAGUUCAAAGUGUACAAAACCCCAAGGGUUUAAAAGACCAAGAGAUCACGACUUCAGGAACCCAAAAGUUCAAGAGUUCAAGGUUCCAAAAAUCCAAGAAUCCAAGAACCCAGAAAGUAAGGAGACCAAAAAUUCGAAGAUUUAGACGCUCAUAAAUCGAAAAGCCCAGAAGAUUGGAGGAAAAUCCAGACGCAGAGAAUCUGAAAAGGUCUGGGAAUCCUAGGGAUUUGGCUUAUGUUGUUUUCUUCUGCGAGAUUUUGGUAUUCAGUUGUUUGUGUCGUAUUACAUUUUAUGCAUGUAUGUUCUCAGUAAUUGCGUGUAUGUUAUGUCAUGAAAAAUAGAUAUUAUUUUAAUACGUUAUCGUAUUGAUUAGACAUGUAGCCGAGUUUACUAAAACUUGUGUCACUGAUUUCGCAUAUAUAUGUAUGCUUUGCAGACAUCUACAGAAAAUUUUUCGUAUUAUUUAGAAUGUCUAUGAAGUUUCAAUCCUCGUAAAAAGCAGAUUCACUGUUCAUACUAGAACAUUGUUGAUAUUCUGUUCUUCAAAAUUUGGUGUGAAAUAACUAUUUUCAGUUCAAACAAUUAACUUUAUUAUUCUCUUCAUCACAAGCUAUAAGAGAUUGUAUUAUAUGUUCAUUUAUAAACACAGUUUAUGAAUUUAUUGCAUUUAUAAAUAUUUGUAAAACACGUGAAAAGACUGUUAAUAUUUUUUUCGUGACAGUACGUCAUAUCAUAUACGUAUACGUCAUUAAUAUUCAAAGAUCUAUGAAAGCGCUAAUUCAGGGAGUAGAACAGCCAAUUUAAAAACAAGCCGACAUUUUUCGAACACUUGUUGGGACACUUACAGAGUAGUUACUGCAAUUAUCUUCACCCAGUUAACCGUGAUAAACAUUUGUUGCAUUCGAAGAUGAUUAUAAGUUGCGCACACAGAACUUUUAAAGGUGUAACUGUAUGUAUACGGAUCGUUAACCUCUGCGCUGCUACGAUCUAAUUUGCCGUUCAAAUGUAAACUUAUUACAUGGAUCCAUAAUGGAAAUCAGGGUUGUAAUGGAGUGGCCCAAUUCUUGCUUUUUGUCUUGCUUAAUGAAAGUAUCGACCAUGCAGGUGUAUGGAAGAAGCCUCGUUUCGAUGCCUUUGCAUUGAAAAUGUGCUAUUUAAAGGAAUAGUCCUCGAUAUUUCAAAGCUAUGAAUGUAGAUAGACACAUGUAUAAUGUAUAUUUUUGGAGCAUACUCAACCUGCUCAACAUGCUCUUGUUUAUAGCAAAUAUUUAGCCUGUGGCUCGAUGCAGUAGAAUUCCAUAAUUUCCUCCAUUGCCUAUUAUUCAUAAAACAGACAAUCAAAUAAUAGGAGUUCACAUUCAGAUAAAAGAAAUUAAUGAAAUUCGGAUAAAGGUCUAUCAUAUUCUAAAAUUCUCUGUACAAACUUAGUUUACUGGCGAAGUUUUUCUCUGUGUGAAAUCGCUACUAAGUUUGUAUUCCCUGGAAACUUUACCAUACCACGUAUAAAAGUCUUUAGAUGAGAGAAUUUUUCUGAAGGAACAGGAUAAUUAAUUAGUUUAUUGGAAGUUCUCAUCGCAAACCGAUACAACCGAUAAUACAAAUUAAUUGUUUUAAGAAGCUAAUUUCUCAAGAAUAAUUCCACCUCGGUGAAACAAUAAUUUUCCCACUUAAUAAAGUCACUGCGACAAAAGAAGAUCCUAGCAGUCCGUGAAUAAUGGUUCUACAUCGAUGGAUCUUAAUGAUGCACCGAGAAUUCCGACUAGCAUGUUCGAUGAGAUGCAAUAUAUGUUGUCAGGUGGUUCAGGCACGAUCCUUCAUCUUCGAGGGCAUGUUAACCUAAUUUGCAUUCGGUUGUCAAGUACUGUAGUUAUAGUACAGCAUGCU